GCGUAUCCAACCUGCCCCGAGGUCAGGGGACAGCCCCGGCGAAAAGUUCGGAUUUAUACCUGAUGGUCUCUUUUGAUGGCAUCUGAUGAGGAGUAAAGAUUCAUCGCCUUGGGAUGGGGAUGCGUAGGAUUAGGCAGCAGGCGGGGUAACGGCCCACCUGGCCAUCGAUCCUUAGGGGUUCUGAGAGGAAGGUCCCCCACACUGGUACUGAGACACGGACCAGACUCCUACGGGAGGCAGCAGUGAGGAAUAUUGGUCAAUGGGCGAGAGCCUGAACCAGCCAAGUAGCGUGCAGGAAGACGGGCCUACGGGUUGUAAACUGCUUUUAUGAGGGGAUAACGUGCGCCACGUGUGGUGUAUUGCAGGUACCUCAUGAAUAAGGACCGGCUAAUUCCGUGCC
rnacentral:rRNA from 1 species